UAGAAGAAGAAGAUAUUAAAAUGAACUGAAAUUUCUGUUGAGUCGAAACGAGAAUGAUUGUCCCACAGAUAAAUCAUUCAGCAAAUAGCAAUAAACAGAGCAUCAUUCUUUUUGAACCAAGCAAAGAAGAAAAAUGUGUACCACAAAUAUCAAAAUUGAGCUUUCCAUGAUUUCUGCCAACGUUUUCUUGCUUCUUUUCCCUUGGGACUUCUCUACCGACAUAUUGCAUUCUUUCUUUAAUAGCGGACCACAAAGGUUGGGAUUGCCCAGAUACCUGGAAUCAUCAAAUGUGCCGAAUUGUGCCACUAGUGGUGUUGGCCCAGUCAGAUUAUUGAAAGAAACAUUAAAAACUUCAAGAAUGUGCAAAUCUGUGAGCUUGCUAGGUAUGUUACCAAAGAACGCAUUAUGGGAAAGAUCUAAGCUCUCCAGACUUUCUAAUUUACCCAGAGAUGCCGGAAUUUGUCCAGUGAGCAGGUUAUUAGACAUGUUUAAGAGUAUGAUCAUUUUCAACUCCGCUACUUGUAUGGGAAUUGUUCCUGUCAAUUUGUUCCUAGAAAAGUCUAUUGCAUGCAAGAAGUUGAGCAUCGAUCCCCUAAAGCAGUAUAAUGAACCUUUCGUCGUCAAAUCAACGCAAGAUGAAGAACCUCUUAGAUUGAAAUCAGUGCUAGAAGAUACUUCUGUCAAAGAAGUAAUGUUGUCGAGGCAAGUAGGAAUCUCACCUGAGAGAUCAUUUUCUGAAAGAUCUAAAACACGCAAAUGUUUCAUUUGGCACAACUGGAGGGGAAUGCUCCCUUUCAAACGGUUCCUUCCAAGAAUAAGCCAUCUUAAUUGAGCAAGAACCGGAAAGCUUAUCGAAAGAUCACCUGACAAAUCAUUAUGGUAAAUGUCAAGAAUUCGCAAGGAAGAAAAUUUUGAUGCGCCGUCUGGAAAUAAUCCCGUGAAGCCAUUUCUGUCGAGAUAUAGCCAUUUCAAGUUAGGCAUACUGGAAUUCCUAGGAAACGCUUCCCCUUGCAAGUUGUUCCUGGAUAAACUCAAAUAUUCCAGAUAUGUCGAAUUGCUCAUUAUUUCAUGGGGUAUCCCUCCUUGAAAAUUAUUAUUUGACAAGUCCAGAUAUUGAAGUUGACUCAAUUCACCAAUAGAUUGGAUGGUGCCAUCGAACAUAUUGUGGGAGACAUUUAGGCGUGCAAGCUGGGGAAAAUAAGAUCUGAUAUCUGCAGGAAAUAGCCCAAAUAGAUUAUUGUCAGAGAUGUCUAGCGUAGCUAACUGCGAGCUCAUGUUUCUUCCCAUUUUGGGAAAUGGACCGCUCAAAUUGUUGCCUCUUAUCCACAAUUCUGAAGAAAUAUUGUAGGGCAGCCACGAAGGAAAGCUCCCAAAAAGUGAAUUAUAAGACAAGUCUAGGGAUUGCAAAUGGUUCUGCAUGGAUAAGAAGCUGGGAAUAUUUCUACCACUUCGCCUAUUGAGGUUACACCCGCCUAGUCCAAGCUGAUUUAGGCUGAAAGAUGGAGACCACGAUGGAGACUCUGUUUCAAUUUCUAAAUCAGGAUUAUAUGAAAUGUCAAGAUAACUGAGUUUCGAUAGAUUGGCAAAAAUAGAAAAUGAAAUCACAUCUUUGAACCGAUUAUUCGAGAUGUCCAAAGAUUCGAUAUUUGUCAGGUUGUGAAACAGUAACGAAGGAAAUGUUCCAUAGAAGCUGUUAUGAGACAGAACUAGUUGUUUUAGAGAAGUCAUAUUACUGAGGCACCCAUCGAUGUUUCCUUCCAGUUCGUUGUCAGAAAGAAUUAGCUCAGUCAUAGACUGACUGUCACAAAGGCACUGUGGAAUAUAACCUUGUAGUUUAUUUCUUGACAGAUUGACGUAGUGAAGAGUAGGUAUAUUUCCCCAGCAGAGAGAACUGUUAUCAAUCACAUUGUCAUGGAGAUCCAACUUUUGCAGGUGCUUGAGUUUGUACAGUGCAUUAGAUGAUAUGAAUCCGCCAAUUCGAUUCCCUGGGAGAUAGAGUUCUUGCAAGUCUUUGAACUGAGUGAAUAAGGUUGCAUUUGGAUACCAUGCUUCAGACUUUAAUUCCUGUGCCGUCCUGAGAUACUGGAAAGUGAUCCGGAUGACACGAGAAUUUGAUUCAUCGCAUUCUACACCCUCCCACUGGCAACAGUCUUGUCCAUACCAGCUCGAGAAAGCAGUUCCCACUGGGCUGUUUAUUGAGUUUUUUAUUUGGAAGAGAGCAUCUCUUUCUUCUUCAUUGCACCCUUCACAGUUGAGAAAUAACAGAAAAGCCGGCAAAGCUAAGUAGAGAAUUACGAUCCUCAUGGUUGGAUUCUUGUCUGCCAAUGACUUAAUUUUCUGCACAAUAACUGGAAAUCCAAGGCUUUUUAUUGCAGCACAAAUAUUUCGGGUAAUCUUCCUCGAAAAAACAUGGAUUGUU
rnacentral:misc_RNA from 1 species